UGUUAGGCUGGAGAUAGUCUGGUGUUGA
rnacentral:piRNA from 1 species